rnacentral:rRNA from 1 species
CCCUUCGGGGUGUGACUGCGUACCUUUUGUAUAAUGGGUCAGCGACUUAUAUUCUGUAGCAAGGUUAACCGAAUAGGGGAGCCGGAGGGAAACCGAGUCUUAAUUGGGCGUUAAGUUGCAGGGUAUAGACCCGAAACCCGGUGAUCUAGCCAUGGGCAGGUUGAAGGUUGGGUAACACUAACUGGAGGACCGAACCGACUAAUGUUGAAAAAUUAGCGGAUGACCUGUGGCUGGGGGUGAAAGGCCAAUCAAACCGGGAGAUAGCUGGUUCUCCCCGAAAGCUAUUUAGGUAGCGCCUCGUGAAUUCAUCUCCGGGGGUAGAGCACUGUUUCGGCUAGGGGGCCAUCCCGGCUUACCAACCCGAUGCAAACUGCGAAUACCGGAGAAUGUUAUCACGGGAGACACACGGCGGGUGCUAACGUCCGUCGUGAAGAGGGAAACAACCCAGACCGCCAGCUAAGGUCCCAAAGUCAUGGUUAAGUGGGAAACGAUGUGGGAAGGCCCAGACAGCCAGGAUGUUGGCUUAGAAGCAGCCAUCAUUUAAAGAAAGCGUAAUAGCUCACUGGUCGAGUCGGCCUGCGCGGAAGAUGUAACGGGGCUAAACCAUGCACCGAAGCUGCGGCAGCGAACGUAUCACCCAAGACAACUUUACGGAGUUGACGAUUGACGGAGCGAAGCGACGUCAAAGCGUUCAUUAAAGUCGAGUUGGCUUAGGGAUACGUUCGUUGGGUAGGGGAGCGUUCUGUAAGCCUGUGAAGGUGUGUCGUGAGGCAUGCUGGAGGUAUCAGAAGUGCGAAUGCUGACAUAAGUAACGAUAAAGCGGGUGAAAAGCCCGCUCGCCGGAAGACCAAGGGUUCCUGUCCAACGUUAAUCGGGGCAGGGUGAGUCGACCCCUAAGGCGAGGCCGAAAGGCGUAGUCGAUGGGAAACGGGUUAAUAUUCCCGUACUUGGUGUUACUGCGAAGGGGGGACGGAGAAGGCUAUGUUGGCCGGGCGACGGUUGUCCCGGUUUAAGCGUGUAGGUGUGUGUUCCAGGUAAAUCCGGUU